GAAUGUAUAAGAUAAACUAAGUGCUAUGCUUGGAAAGAAAAACAAAAAGAUUAAGAAAACAAGAGAAUAGGUACUUCAAGAACUUAGAUUAAUUCAUUCUCUGGGACAAAUUUAUUUGUUUCUUAAACCUAAAUUCUGAGAUUAACCAAAGAGUCAGAGAUGACCAUUUGAUAACCCAGCAGACUAUAGCCCAGAUCGCACGGAAAAUCCCAACAAUUGAAAUUUCUUAAAAGAAGAAAAAAGUACGGGUAACCAGAUAUUCAGCAUUUCUAAUUCGGACCAGGAAGGAAGAGAAUACACUGUUGCCCAAAAUGAUAACAGAAAGUGAAAAUCUAGUAACUGGAUCAGCCACACAUUCCCAUAUUUCAACCUUUCAAGAUGGCAGAUCAAGAUCAUAAAACACCUAAAAUUGAAAACCAGGUAACUAUAUUCCUGAC
rnacentral:misc_RNA from 1 species